UUUUGCUGCUUACUCUGUAAGAAGAUUGAAAUAGCAGCAGGAUGCGGUGCGCUGCGUUGUGGCAUAUAUUGCAAAGCUGCGAUGAUGGAAAUAGCUUCAGAGUAAAGACGUUAUUAAUGAAGACUAUAACCAGGGAAGGUACGCUAAGCUCAUGUACCUGAUCUCGCCCGGGUUGUACUUGACCAGCACAUCCAUCUACUGGUUGUAUUCAUCCAUUUUUUAAAACGCCUUCACUGUUGAUGUCAGCCUGCCUGGCAGUUUUGUGCCAUUUAAAAGAAUCAAAACAAAUUAACUCCAAAAAGUUCACGUCUGAAAUGCUGCUGCUUCCCAGCUCCCGGACUGCGAGGGAGGGGGGAGCCCUGGGCGACGGCACCCCCGGAUGGCCACAGACCCUAGCAAUCCUUAUAGAAAUAUUCCUGACGGCUUAGCUGUGGUAGGACGGAGCUCAGCUCCUGCUGCCAUCCCUGGGCGCAGAGCGCAGGAGCGGGGCUCGGGCUGGGGGGCAUGGCCCCGUGCCCGCCGUGCAGGGGGGGCCGGGAGCGUGGGAGCUCGGCAGAGCUGCUUGUCCAAGAGAAAUGCAAAUAUGGGACAAUCAGCCUCCGCGGCAGCCAAGUAAGAUGUGAUGAAACCCAAUCAGUUAAUAACACUUCAAGGCAGUGGAAGAAUUGCAGAUGAACGUGUUUUUAAAUAACUUUUUUUUUUUUUUUCCUCGCUAGAACUAUUCCUCUGCAUUUUUACUGAAAAAAACCCUCAUUUUGGUUUUUAUCUUGCACAAAGGGCUGCUAGUUUCAAAGCCCAGAGUCGAGGAGUCUUGGCAGAGCUCUACCAUUGCAUCCUCCUGCACCAUUUUGGUUCCUGAAAAGGCACCUCCGUCCUUGUGGGUGGCCCCGCUGAGCAUCCAGCUGCCGGAGGAGGGUCCCACGGGAGCACUGUGGGGACCCCCUGCCUGGGACCCUGAGGGUGGUCCCCCCAUGGGAUGCUGCACCGAGCUCCAGCCGCCCGGCGCGGGAAUAAACGCUGCAGGAGCAAAGUGGUUCGACAGAUAGAGCUGACGAGCAUGAGAAAAAGAAGGUUUUGAGACCCGGAUAGUAAUCAAGGCUAAUUUGUUGAUUUGCCAUCCGGAAUCAUUUCUUGCAUUAUUUUUUUCUCCCUACACAAUUUGCUGCCUGCCUUCGGGGAGGGUGGGGGGGGAAGCACGCGCCCUCCAUCCUCUGCCGAGCCUCUGAGCAAGCUCCUUCUGCCUGAUUAAGGGCUGUCAGGAUGAUUGAUGUGUUCUUGCCGGAGAAGGGUUGGUCUGUGGGUCCAUCGCUGCCACUGGACGGGGGUCCUCCACACUGGGAGAGCGCUGGAGCGGCAAGGUCAGCCCUGCACUUGGCCUUCAGAGAGCAGAGCCAAGGUAAGCCCUUCCAGCGUCCCCGCGGCCGAGCCCUGGGGCAAGGUGAGCAUUUAACACGGCUCUGCAUCCCAGUCCCUCUCUCUCUGAAGAACAUAAACCUCUGGCUUCAAAGAUGCUGAGCCUUCCUGAGAUGCACCGAACCGUUUCCAUUUCAGGUUGAGGGGUGAUGAAGCGGAGGGCAGGUCAGGCUGUGGGCCAGCCUCUGCUGCGGCUGGGGCAGCAGUCUUGCAAAUAAACAUUUAAGUGUCCCGGUGGUAUAUUUAAGUUCUGGGUGGAAAAGGGUGUCAGUGGAGCCAUAAAAGCAUGUGUCAGAGGGAAAGAAAUGUGCGACUGGAGGUAGUUUUAAUAACAAAUACAUGGUUUUUUCCAACUGUUGAAUGCUCAGCAUUCCCUGCCUGGGAGAUUUCUGAGUGUUUCAGCAAGACAGUAGCGCGCUUGGA